GACGAACGCUGGCGGCGUGCCUAAUACAUGCAAGUAGAACGCUGAAGAGAGGAGCUUGCUCUUCUUGGAUGAGUUGCGAACGGGUGAGUAACGCGUAGGUAACCUGCCUGGUAGCGGGGGAUAACUAUUGGAAACGAUAGCUAAUACCGCAUAAAAUGGAUUAUCGCAUGAUAAUCCAUUGAAAGGUGCAAAUGCAUCACUACCAGAUGGACCUGCGUUGUAUUAGCUAGUUGGUGGGGUAACGGCUCACCAAGGCGACGAUACAUAGCCGACCUGAGAGGGUGAUCGGCCACACUGGGACUGAGACACGGCCCAGACUCCUACGGGAGGCAGCAGUAGGGAAUCUUCGGCAAUGGACGGAAGUCUGACCGAGCAACGCCGCGUGAGUGAAGAAGGUUUUCGGAUCGUAAAGCUCUGUUGUAAGAGAAGAACGAGUGUGAGAGUGGAAAGUUCACACUGUGACGGUAUCUUACCAGAAAGGGACGGCUAACUACGUGCCAGCAGCCGCGGUAAUACGUAGGUCCCGAGCGUUGUCCGGAUUUAUUGGGCGUAACGCGAGCGCAGGCGGUUAGAUAAGUCUGAAGUUAAAGGCUGUGGCUUAACCAUAGUACGCUUUGGAAACUGUUUAACUUGAGUGCAAGAGGGGAGAGUGGAAUUCCAUGUGUAGCGGUGAAAUGCGUAGAUAUAUGGAGGAACACCGGUGGCGAAAGCGGCUCUCUGGCUUGUAACUGACGCUGAGGCUCGAAAGCGUGGGGAGCAAACAGG
rnacentral:rRNA from 1 species